rnacentral:rRNA from 1 species
UUAUUGGGCCUAAAGCGUCCGUAGCCGGUUUGUUAAAUCUUCUGUGAAAUUGUUGGACUCAAUCUAACACCGUGCAGAAGACACUAGCAAGCUAGAGACUGGAAGGAGCUAGAAGUAUUCUUGGGGAAGCGGUAAAAUGCUAUAAUCCUAGGAAGACUACCUGUGGCGAAGGCGUCUAGCUAGUACAGAUCUGACGGUGAGGGACGAAAGCGAGGGGAGCAAUCCGGAUUAGAUACCCGAGUAGUCCUCGCUGUAAACUCUGCGAGCAAGGUGUUGCCUAUUCUUCAUGAAUGGGCAGUGUCGAAGAGAAGUCGUUAAGCUCGCCGCCUGGGGAAGUAUGGUCGCAAGGCUGAAACUUAAAGGAAUUGGCGGGGGAGCACUACAAGGGGUGCGGCGUGCGGUUUAAUCUAAUUCAACGCAGAAAAUCUCACCAGAAGCGACGGCAGGAUGAAAGACAGUCUAAAGGGCUUUCUUGACGAGCCGAGAGGUAGUGCAUGGCC